AUCUGACUUUCUCAUAUAUAUUUUUAUUCUUUCUAGAUAUAAAUUAUUAUUAAAUUUUAAAAUACAACUGCAUUUUUAACAUGUGCUCUAACAUAUUGACAAGAUCAAGUUGUAGUAUUAAUAGUAUUAGUAUUAAUAGACUUGUUAAUGUCUUUAUAUGGAGAAUGAAAUAUAAAACAUAUCUAUCUGGUUAAUUUGAUAAUGGAUAGCACACAGGCCUUUAAUCUCAGCAAUCAGGAAGUAGAGGCAGGAAGAUCACUGUAAUGUAAAGGCUGGUUAGGUCUACAUAAUGAGUUCCAUGCUAUAUAGUGUUACAUAGUGAGACUGUGUCCUACCCCAAAUUGAAAACAAACAAGCAAACAAACAAACAAACAAAAAACAAAAAACAAAAAAGCCUAAGUAACUCAUCUUUAUUUUUUCUCAUUACCUCUAUCAUGGGAAUGGUUGGAGCUUCCUGAGACUUUUUGCUAACACAAGUCUGUUUACACUGGAUGCUGAAGGGAAGAAAGAAGUAGGAAAUGGCAGUAAUGUAAUCAGUGCUUUCAUCCCUAUAUAAAGAUUGAAUCUGAGCAGUAAAUGCUAAAGCCAAUAUGGAAGUCAUCAACGAAGGGUCACAGAAGGUCACCAACCUGUUGCCUUCUCAAGACCCUCUGUAUUUAUUUCCCCAUUUCCAGCACAAUUCCAGGUUGACAAGGCUCCAUUCUCAGUUUGCCACUUCCAUAAAACCUUCAGGAUCUAAUGGGUACCCAGGCCAGGAAAAUAUCUCUUUUUUUUUGGCAUCUUCUGAUGCCAAGUGUAUAAAAAUCCUUCCUGUUCCCUUGUGUUCUGUCUCAGUGUUCUGUUGAUUUCAGAGUCAGUGACUGUAAUCUAUUUUUCAACUGGAUAAAGACUGAGGCCAAAGCACUUCAGUGAGAUAAUCAUAUUCAGACUAUUUACAUGGUAAAUUUCUUGAUGAUAUUUAGGUAGCCAAAAGCCAGAUAUAUGGAAGCCAUUUUGUGCAAGGAGUUCUUCUUUACUGUAACCAAUAUGGCUUCUUAUAAGAACAAUAAAUGAUCUAACUUGUCUUGACCCUAGGUUAGCUUUCAUUAAUCUGCUAUUUUACAAUGUCAUGUAAAUCUUGAGUCAGUGUAGUAGCAAAUUCCAUUAUUUUCCAACAGAAUGGUUGUUCCUCUCCUUAGACUUCUUCUAUAUAAUUUGUUAUCCAAUCAGUUUGCAGUAUGGUCCAUUUUACCACUCGUGAAUUAUGAACAAUUAAGUUGAUAUGCAGAACACUAUACUGGGCAAAAUGAUGAAUGCAUUCUUUCCACAGAAAGGUGUCCACAUGUUGAUCCCUGGACCCUGUUACUAUAUUUAGUUUCAAAGCAAAGGGGGAGCUUAAUGACACAGAUGAAAUUAUGGUUACCAAACAGCUAAUUCCAGUGCAUGGAAAUUAUUCUGAGUUAUGUAAAAUAGUCUCAAUUUAAAAGUGAUAGAGCAGCUGUGCACAUGGCACGUGUUUAUAAUUCCACCAGUCAGAGGCUGGAGGAGGAAUAUUGUUUUGAGUUCAAGGCUAUCCUGGACUAAAUAGCAAGACCCUAUCUCAAAAACAAAACAAAACAAAACAUAACAAACCGUAAAAAGUGUUUGUAUUUCUUUCUUUUUAAAGUAGAAGCAUAAAGCAGUAAUAGGAUCCAGAGAGAGGCUGUCCAGCAGGAUUGGGUAUGGGGGAUCAGGAUCUCUAAUUAAGAAAUAUGGGUGUCUAUAGCAGCUAGGACAGGUAAGAAUUAGAUUUCUUCCCAGAGUCUGCAGAAGCGGUACAACAAUGGUGACAUCUUGACUUUAGCUCAGUGAUUAUACCAGAUUACUGACCCAGAGAACCAUACACACACACACACACACACACACACACACACACACACACACACACACACAUAGUUGAUUAACCCCUGUUCAUGAUAACUUUUGACGGCAAUGAUAAGAAAUUAAGAAGAUACCCCUGUGGCAUGGGCAAUCAUUUUUAAGAUCCACUGAUUUGACUCUCAGCAACCAUGGUAACAGACUUUAUGGAAGCAUUUUGGUCACUUAGCAGAAAACAGAGCAUUUUUCAACCAGCUGUGCUCUCCAUAGGUCUCUUAGUCAGGAUUCCUAUUGUUAUGAUAAAAUACCAUGAUCAAAAGCAACCUGAGAAGGACAGGAUUUAUUUCAUCUUUUACUUCCACAUAAUAAUUUAUCAAUGAGGACAGUCAGGGAAAGACCACAAGCAGCUCAGGAAGCUUGAGGCAGAAACUGAAGCAGAGGUUGUAGAGAAACACUGCUUACUGGCUUUUUCCUUCUGGCUUGCUUAGCCUACAUUCUUAUACCAUCUAGGACUACAGGUCCCAAGGGUAACAUCACCCCUCAAUGGGCUGGGCUUUCCUGCCGCAGACCCUCUGGGUCCCUGUGUCUGCGUGGAACGGGUCUCUCGACGCGGGUGGGCAAAGCGUGGAUGAAUGAUAAACAGACACACACAGGAGAGGUUGUGUGGAAUCUGAAUGUAAUUUUUCAAAUCGAACAUCAGACUUUUUAUGCAGAAGACAAUAAGGAAGUUGGGUGACAUACCCGCAAGGUACAAAUGAGGUAACCGGAUGCUUAAUGACUCUUGCACAGAACAGAGGAAUGAAAACGCAAAGACUGGCAGGAACUGGGCAAUAAAAUAACUGAGACAGAGUCAGCCCUAUCUAAGGUCAGCUUUAGUCUUAGAAGCCAGGUGUGAGAACUUUUCACUCCUAGGGCAAGGGCUUUCACACCCAAGUCAUGGUUCUAACUAGGGAGUUCCGUUCUAGCUAACCAUCUCAUGAAUAAUGCAUUACUCUAAAACCACAGCCCAAUCUACUUCCUAAACCAUUGUAAAUUCCUGUAUAUGGGAGCGACUUGGCUUUUAUUGAUAGUGUAAUACCAGAGGCUAUUCUGAAUGUCACUGUCUAGCUCAAGGACUGUUGGAACACUGGCGGAAGGCUUUAGCUAUGUCAGAAUUUAAUCUUAAAAGGCACUUAU
rnacentral:lncRNA from 1 species